rnacentral:tRNA from 1 species
GGGGAUGUAGCUCAUUUGGUAGAGCACUAUGAAGAGCUUUCUAGAGGUACGGGGUUCAACUCCUCGCAUCUCCA